rnacentral:rRNA from 1 species
CCGACGGUGAGGGACGAAAGCUGGGGGAGCAAACCGGAUUAGAUACCCGGGUAGUCCCAGCUGUAAACGAUGCGCGUUAGGUGUGUCAGUGACCACGUGUCACUGAUGUGCCGAAGGGAAACCGUGAAACGCGCCGCCUGGGGAGUACGGUCGCAAGGCUGAAACUUAAAGGAAUUGGCGGGGGAGCACCACAACGGGUGGAGCCCGCGGUUUAAUCGGACUCAACGCCGGAAAUCUCACCGGAUAA